AUAUCUAAUUAGCAUUUCUUGCCCGCAUUCUCCACCAAAUUGUAGGAAUUACUUCAUGAAAUUAGGACCAGCCUGUUUUUCAUAAAAAUUCCAGCAAGACCUUGCAAGAAAUGAAAUCAGAAAUAU